AGGGUUUGAUCAUGGCUCAGGAUGAACGCUAGCGGGAGGCCUAACACAUGCAAGCCGAGCGGUAUUGUUUCUUCGGAAAUGAGAGAGCGGCGUACGGGUGCGGAACACGUGUGCAACCUGCCUUUAUCUGGGGGAUAGCCUUUCGAAAGGAAGAUUAAUACUCCAUAAUAUAUUGAACGGCAUCGUUUAAUAUUGAAAGCUCCGGCGGAUAGAGAUGGGCACGCGCAAGAUUAGCUAGUUGGUGAGGUAACGGCUCACCAAGGCGAUGAUCCUUAGGGGGCCUGAGAGGGUGAUCCCCCACACUGGUACUGAGACACGGACCAGACUCCUACGGGAGGCAGCAGUGAGGAAUAUUGGUCAAUGGGUGCAAGCCUGAACCAGCCAUCCCGCGUGAAGGACGACUGCCCUAUGGGUUGUAAACUUCUUUUGUAUAGGGAUAAACCUACUCUCGUGAGGGUAGCUGAAGGUACUAUACGAAUAAGCACCGGCUAACUCCGUGCCAGCCGCCGCGGUAAUAC
rnacentral:rRNA from 1 species